rnacentral:rRNA from 1 species
CCUACGGGAGGCAGCAGUCGGGAAUCUUGCGCAAUGGGCGAAAGCCUGACGCAGCAACACCGUGUGGGCGACGAAGGCCUUCGGGUCGUAAAGCCCUGUUGUUGGGGACGAAGGACGAAGGGUUAAUAGCCCCUAGUCUGACGGUACCCUUCGAGGAAGCCCCGGCUAACUACGUGCCAGCAGCCGCGGUAAUACGUAGGGGGCGAGCGUUGUCCGGAAUUAUUGGGCGUAAAGAGCGUGUAGGCGGUUCGGUAAGUCUGCCGUGAAAACCCGGGGCUCAACCCCGGGCGUGCGGUGGAUACUGCCGGGCUAGAGGAUGGUAGAGGCGAGUGGAAUUCCCGGUGUAGCGGUGAAAUGCGCAGAUAUCGGGAGGAACACCAGUAGCGAAGGCGGCUCGCUGGGCCAUUCCUGACGCUGAGACGCGAAAGCUAGGGGAGCGAACAGGAUUAGAUACCCUGGUAGUCCUAGCCGUAAACGAUGAACACUAGGUGUGGGGGGAGUCGAAUCCUCCUGUGCCGCAGCCAACGCGUUAAGUGUUCCGCCUGGGGAGUACGGCCGCAAGGCUAAAACUCAAAAGAAUUGACGGGGGCCCGCACAAGCAGCGGAGCAUGUUCUUUAAUUCGAUGCAACGCGAAGAACCUUACCUGGGCUUGACAUGGUGCUGCAAGCGCACGGAAACGUGUGACCUUCGAGGGUGCACCACAGGUGCUGCAUGGCUGUCGUCAGCUCGUGUCGUGAGAUGUUGGGUUAAGUCCCGCAACGGGCGCAACCCCCGUGGCGUGUUGCCAGCAUUAAGUUUGGGACUCACGCCAGACUGCCGGUGACAAACCGGAGGAAGGUGGGGAUGACGUCAGUCAUCAUGGCCCUUACGGGCUGGGCUACACACGUGCUACAUGGCGGUGACAGUGGGCAGCCCCCAGCAAUGGGGAGCUAUCACAAAAAGCCGUCUCAGUUCGGAUUGGGGUCUGCAACUCGACCCCAUGAGUCGGAAUCGCUAGGUAUCGCAGAUCAGACACGCCG